rnacentral:sRNA from 1 species
AGUACUGCUCGUGCAUUCGGGUUCUGAGCGCUCCACCCCACACCCACCUGACAACCACUCGCCACGUUUGUUAGCC